ACGGAAGGCAGCAGUGGGGAAUAUUGGGCAAUGGGGGCAAGCCUGACCCAGCAACGCCGCGUGAAGGAAGAAGGCCUUCGGGUUGUAAACUUCUUUUAUAGGGGACGAAACAAAUGACGGUACCCUAUGAAUAAGCCACGGCUAACUACGUGCCAGCAGCCGCGGUAAUACGUAGGUGGCGAGCGUUGUCCGGAUUGACUGGGUGUAAAGGGCGCGUAGGCGGGAUGGUAGGUCAGAUGUGAAAUUCAUGGGCUCAACCUAGGAAUUGCAUUUGAAACUGUCGUUCUUGAGUGUCGGAGAGGCAAGCGGAAUUCCUAGUGUAGCGGUGAAAUGCGUAGAUAUUAGGAGGAACACCAGUGGCGAAGGCGGCUUGCUGGACGAUAACUGACGCUGAGGCGCGAAAGCGUGGGGAGCAAACAGGAUUAGAUACCCUGGUA
rnacentral:rRNA from 1 species